ACCCUGUGGUUAGGACAUUUCUUGAUAAAGUCCUUGUAUCUCUCCCAUGCUUCAUGGAGAUUCUCUCCAUAAAACAUUUUGAAGCUAGAGAUUUUAGCUCUUACAUU